AUUGAACGCUGGCGGCAGGCCUAACACAUGCAAGUCGAGCGGUAGAGAGGAGCUUGCUUCUCUUGAGAGCGGCGGACGGGUGAGUAAUGCCUAGGAAUCUGCCUGAUAGUGGGGGAUAACGUCCGGAAACGGACGCUAAUACCGCAUACGUCCUACGGGAGAAAGUGGGGGCUCUUCGGACCUCACGCUAUCAGAUGAGCCUAGGUCGGAUUAGCUAGUUGGUGGGGUAAAGGCUCACCAAGGCGACGAUCCGUGACUGGUCUGAGAGGAUGAUCAGUCACACUGGAACUGAGACACGGUCCAGACUCCUACGGGAGGCAGCAGUGGGGAAUAUUGGACAAUGGGCGAAAGCCUGAUCCAGCCAUGCCGCGUGUGUGAAGAAGGUCUUCGGAUUGUAAAGCACUUUAAGUUGGGAGGAGGGGUCGUUACCUAAUACGUGACGAUUUCGACGUUACCGACAGAAUAAGCACCGGCUAACUCUGUGCCAGCCGCCGCCGUAA
rnacentral:rRNA from 1 species